UUUCGAAUCAUUCACAAUGGGCGAAAGCCUGAUGGUGCGACGCCGCGUGAGGGAUGAAGGUCUUCGGAUUGUAAACCUCUGUCACUGGGGAAGAAACGCUUUAAGUUAACAGCUUAAAGCCUGACUUAACCCGGAGAGGAAGCAGUGGCUAACUCUGUGCCAGCAGCCGCGGUAAUACAGAGACUGCGAGCGUUAUUCGGAUUCACUGGGCGUAAAGGGUGCGCAGGCGGCCAUGUAUGUGAAGUGUGAAAGCCCGGGGCUUAACCCCGGAAUUGCACCUCAAACUACAUAGCUAGAGCAUUGAAGAGGGUAGCAGAAUUCACGGUGUAGCAGUGAAAUGCGUAGAUAUCGUGAGGAAUACCAGAGGCGAAGGCGGCUACCUGGACAAUUGCUGACGCUCAGGCACGAAAGCGUGGGGAGCAAAAG
rnacentral:rRNA from 1 species